UUGGCGGCCGUAAAAUGUGGACACGUCGCACGGGGAAGGGCGGAGUACCGGUUGCCGCUGGCGGAGCGGCCUCGUGGCAGGGGCGGCGGGUACGGCGGCGGCGACGGGGGCAGUGAUUCGUCCGACAGCUUAGCCGGUGGCAGCCUCUUGGUGGACCGUUAGAGGCACGGCGACGAGAGCGAGCGGCCGAGGCGGCGGCUACGUCUGCGCGGCGACCGCGCCACCGAGGCCGCCGAGCUCCGCAAGGAGCGCCACAGCCCGGAGAGACGGAGCUGGGGAGAGCCGCACCGGAAGCGCCGCAGGCGCGACCGCCACCACCCGCAUCGCGACGGGCGCCACCGGCACUCGGAGAGGGGCACGGCAUUCGUGCUCGCCCAGACGCUGCUGAAGCUCCAACUCUACAAGCUCCACACGCAGUACUACAGCGUCCGCCGCCGCCGCCGGCAGCGGCAGCGGACGCACAGCUCCUUCUACCGGUACAUGCCGGAGGCGUUCAAGGAGAAGCAACUGGGCCUAGAACCGUACGCCUAGGCGAAGGUCUUCCUCAUGCAGCAGUCCUAGGUCCUGAAGAAGGCUUGUGAAUACACCACCUAUAACGGUACGGAACGACACUUCCAGUGGGCUCUCUACAAGGCGAAAAGGGUGUACAAGGUAGUCAGUUAAACCUCCAGUACGUAACACGAUAAACGAAGGUAGUACAGUACCUACAUAAACUGCUGUUAACACAACAGAAGGACGUACGAAAAGUUGAACCAAACGUUAGAUGUUCAAUAUGUGAAACUACUAAUGCCGUUUCAAGAUCUCGUUCUGCGCCUAGGAGAUCAGAUAGACUUUCUCGUGGACGUUGAGGCGGUAUUAGAGAGGUUUUAGUCAGUGUCCAAGGCGUACAAGGAAAACGACGAGAAGAAAAGACAAUGUCGUUCGGUCAAGCGGUAAGAAAUGUUCUGUUGUCGUAUGUUGCCCGGUUAGUUAAAGUGAUUACCACCACUAUAUCGACAUAGAAGUCAACAAGUUCAACAUCCGGAACAGGAAACAAAUGUGCCUCGACGAUUUUAAAGAGUGUCUCGAGUUUUGUAACGGCGUUAUCGAUCAGCUACCGUACGAAAUCGCUGUACGAGAUCACUAAGAUGUAUACAUUCGUGGGGCUUACUAAGACCCUUGGAUCACGGGAAAGGUCGUGUAUACAAAAACUCUCUAACGAGCCUUUCACUGAACCUCAGAUACCUUUCACCGAGUUACGUUCCGUUAAGAGUAUUGUGUCGAGUUGACCGUAGAAUGUACAGAAGUAUGGUGUUCUCUCUUAGCGAACACGAGAUAGACGAUUGGUUGGGACCCCCGUAGUGCGAUAUGCCAACCUAACAGCUGGCCUGUAAGGAGUUGUGCUAGGACUACGAGCUCGAUUGGGAACACGACAAGCACGAGUCGUUCUGGUAACACUAGGGUCGCUUUUGCGAUCAGUUGUCAAUGUACUCAAAGGGCACUUACCUCAAACCGCGUUCGAAAUUGUAAGGCUAAAACCAAACUUCUCGCACUGUGGGUCUGUGCAUCAUCCCAAACAUGUGGUGUAACCGCUUCUGACCACGGCUGUAGCCGUUUCAACUAGGAACUUCUGAUUUUACUUGGGCCUAGACUCUUCGUUCCAACCACAAAGAACUACAGGGACAAACCUCCAACUAGAAACCCCCGUUACAGAGAACUUGCGUUCUAAGACCGAUUGCGCUUCGUACGUUAACAAUCUGUAUCCAAGGGAAACUAGUGACCUGACAUACGUCCUACAACCCGAGCCAACACAACACAUGUCAAAAACCUGGUUUCGGUCGUAGUAUACCGACACGUAUACAUGUACACGAGAACAUAAUGGUGAACUAUAGAUGCUCCUACUUCAAAACAGUUAC
rnacentral:rRNA from 1 species